CUUAAAGGUCUCAUAUUGGUGUUAUAAAUAUCUAAGAUAUAAUUUUCAACUUUUCCAGGUGCGUUUGGCUGACAAGGAAUAUUACAAUUGCAGUGCCUAUCCUGCAAUCUCUAUUUUUGAUUUUUACUGUGAGCAGCUACGCUCUGUGUUUGUGUAUGAAUCCAGGAAUUAUUGCCAGAGAUUCUGUCGACAUCAGUGGGAUUCUGGAUGCCCCAGAGGUGAUCAUCAAUGGCACCAUAUUUACCAGCAAGUGGUGCCAUAUCUGUAAGAUCUACCGUCCCCCAAGAUGUCGACACUGCUACAGCUGCGAUGUGUGUGUAGAGGAUCUUGACCAUCACUGUUUCUUCCUUAAAAAGUGCAUUGGGAAAAGAAACCAUCGUUUUUUCUACACUUUACUCUUUUCCCUAACUGUCUAUUUUCUUCUCAUGUUUUCCUUCUGCACUAUCUUUCUAGUGAAGAAUCCCAAUGCAAUAUUUCUAUCCAAGAUCACCACUUUUAUUCUUGCUACAAUUUCGCUUCUUGCUUCUGUACCGUUAUUUUUCUUUUUCGUUUUUCACACUUACCUCAUCGCAGCUGGAAUGACCACGUAUGAGCAGAUUUUGAGGACAUAUAAAAAUGACAAGAAUCCUUUUCACAAAGGAUGUUGGAGAAACUUUACUGCCCUGUUGUUCGGUAACCAGCUAUCGAGUUGUACAACAGUGACUGAAGUCACUGUGAUCCCAGGUCAUCUGGUGGAAUGUCCAUCCGUCAGUUCAAAGUGUGCAGACACCACAUCUACGACUUUUAUAUCCAUCCUAUCUCGUUCCAAUGCUGUUGUUCCACUACCUGUCACUUUUGUUCCUACUUUACCCAACCGCCCUCAAAGUGCCCCCUUGCCCACUUUCUCUUACCUUAACGAAAACUCUGGUGCUCCAUUUCAAACUCUUUCCUCUCAACUGGCCUAUUUACCUGUUACCACAUUAUCUACCCAUUCCCCUGACAAUACCCACUCCAGCUCCCUCUCCUUAUAAAUGUCCUGCCUAAACCUUAACUGCCACUGCUCGGAUCAACAGAACUGGAACGAAUAUAACAAACUAUUUUCCUUGUUACCUUCUCACUUCCCACUUGUUGCCUUCUCACCCCACUUCCCUUCCCCUCUCUGCUUCUAUUUGGACUGAUGGAGGUGCAUUCUAAUGCCUGUGACCUGUGCAGCUAAAGGCGUGGUUGCCAAUGAAGGAACAACUGCAGUACUGAAACGGCUCCAGCACAAAUGUGACAUUUGGGCAAAAUGAUUCUCCCUCAACGUGGUUCAAGAAGUUAGCAAUUCACAAACGUCUGUGAGGACAGGAAGAGGCAUAGAGGUAACAUUCUACAAAUGUGACUUAUUGCGGUAGGUGAACUGCAGUGGGUCAAUGCUGAUUGGUAGACUGGAUGCAUUCCAGAGCCAGCCUCCAAAAGCAUGGAUGGAUGUCUGCUGUAUGGUGGUCAUUAAGGCAUGAGAUCUUGCUUUUCUUUGUCAUUGGGAUGAUAGUGGUCUUCCUGAAGCAGGUGAGAACGCAGUAGGGAGAGAUGAAAGAAAUCCAAGAAUACUCCCGCAGUAUGGCCCACGCAGUUUCUAAGGAUACAGCCAGUUGCUUUCACCCUCAGGAAGGCCAAGCUAACUUCAACAACAUUGACCAUGGGAAGAGGCAUAGUUGAGUCUGAUUGGAUAGAUGUCAUCACUCAUCACCCUGUUGACCUUCUGCUCAAAGGGAGCAUAGAAAACAUUAUGUUCAU